rnacentral:rRNA from 1 species
ACGAACGCUGGCGGCAUGCCUAACACAUGCAAGUCGAACGAGACCUUCGGGUCUAGUGGCGCACGGGUGCGUAACGCGUGGGAACCUGCCCUUAGGUUCGGAAUAACUCCCCGAAAGGGGUGCUAAUACCGGAUAAUGUCUUCGGACCAAAGAUUUAUCGCCUUUGGAUGGGCCCGCGUUGGAUUAGCUAGUUGGUAGGGUAAAAGCCUACCAAGGCGACGAUCCAUAGCUGGUCUGAGAGGAUGAUCAGCCACACUGGGACUGAGACACGGCCCAGACUCCUACGGGAGGCAGCAGUGGGGAAUAUUGGACAAUGGGCGAAAGCCUGAUCCAGCAAUGCCGUGUGAGUGCUGAAGGCCUUAGGGUUGUAAAGCUCUUUUACCCGGGAUGAUAAUGACAGUACCGGGAGAAUAAGCUCCGGCUAACUCCGUG